rnacentral:rRNA from 1 species
GCUGGCGGCAGGCUUAACACAUGCAAGUCGAGCGGUAGCAGAUCUAGCUUGCUAGAUGCUGACGAGCGGCGGACGGGUGAGUAACGCGUAGGAACCUGCCCAGUAGUGGGGGAUAGCCCGGGGAAACUCGGAUUAAUACCGCAUACGCUCUACGGAGGAAAGAGGGGCUUCGGCCCUCGCUAUUGGAUGGGCCUGCGUGAGAUUGGCUAGUUGGUGAGGUAAUGGCUCACCAAGGCGACGAUCUCUAGCUGGUCUGAGAGGAUGAUCAGCCACACUGGGACUGAGACACGGCCCAGACUCCUACGGGAGGCAGCAGUGGGGAAUAUUGCACAAUGGGCGCAAGCCUGAUGCAGCCAUGCCGCGUGUGUGAAGAAGGCUUUCGGGUUGUAAAGCACUUUCAGUGGGGAGGAAGGCCUCGUAGUUAAUAGCUGCGAGGAUUGACGUUACCCACAGAAGAAGCACCGGCUAACUCCGUG